rnacentral:rRNA from 2 species
UAAAACCAGCACCUCAAGUGGUCAGGAGGUUUAUUGGGCCUAAAGCAUCCGUAGCCUGCUUUGUAAGUUUUCGGUUAAAUCCAUAUGCUCAACAUAUGGGCUGCCGGGAAUACUACAUAGCUAGGGAGUGGGAGAGGUAGACGGUACUCCAUAGGAAGGGGUAAAAUCCUUUGAUCUAUGGAAGACCACCAGUGGCGAAGGCGGUCUACCAGAACACGUUCGACGGUGAGGGAUGAAAGCUGGGGGAGCAAACCGGAUUAGAUACCCGGGUAGUCCCAGCUGUAAACUAUGCAAACUCGGUGAUGCAUUGGCUUGAGGCCAGUGCAGUGCCGCAGGGAAGCCGUUAAGUUUGCCGCCUGGGAAGUACGUACGCGAGUAUG